GACGAACGCUGGCGGCGCGCCUAACACAUGCAAGUCGAACGGUGAACCGGGCUUCGGCCCGGGGAUCAGUGGCGAACGGGUGCGUAACACGUGGGCAACCUGCCCCCGACCCUGGGAUAACCCCGGGAAACCGGAGCUAAUACCGGAUACUCUCCUCCGCCCCCUUGGUCGAGGGAGGAAAGGUCCGCCGGUCGGGGAUGGGCCCGCGGCCUAUCAGCUUGUUGGUGGGGUAACGGCCUACCAAGGCGACGACGGGUAGCUGGUCUGAGAGGACGACCAGCCACACUGGGACUGAGACACGGCCCAGACUCCUACGGGAGGCAGCAGUGGGGAAUCUUGCGCAAUGGGCGAAAGCCUGACGCAGCGACGCCGCGUGGGGGACGAAGGCCUUUCAGGUCGUAAACCCCUUUCGGCAGGGACGAAGCGAUCUCGUGACGGUACCUGCAGAAGAAGCCUCGGCUAACUACGUGCCAGCCGCCGCAGUAAUAC
rnacentral:rRNA from 1 species